rnacentral:misc_RNA from 1 species
AAGGAGUCCAACAUGCAUGCGAGUAUGCGGGUGGCAAACCCCUGUGCGCAAUGAAAGUGAUGGGUGGGAUCCCUCGGGAGCACCAUCGACCGGACCUUGCCAUCCGUGGCAGGGCCCUGCGUUGGAGCAUGCAUGCUGGGACCCGAAAGAUGGUGAACUAUGCCUGAAUAGGGCGAAGCCAGAGGAAACUCUGGUGGAGGCUCGCAGUGAUUCUGACGUGCAAAUCGAUCAUCGAAUUUGGGUAUAGGGGCGAAAGACUAAUCGAACCAUCUAGUAGCUGGUUCCCUC